rnacentral:rRNA from 1 species
UGCCAGCAGCCGCGGUAAUACGGAGGGUGCAAACGUUGCUCGGAAUCAUUGGGCGUAAAGCGCGCGUAGGCGGUUUGUCAAGUUGGAUGUGAAAGCCCUGGGCUCAACCCAGGAAGUGCAUCCAAAACUGUCAGACUUGAAUCUCGGAGGGGGUCCGAGAAUUCCCGGUGUAGAGGUGAAAGUCGUAGAUAUCGGGAGGAAUACCAGUGGCGAAGGCGCUGACCUGGACGAAGAUUGAAGCUGAGGCGCGAAAGCGUGGGUAGAAAACAGGAUUAGAUA